UGCAGCAGCACAGCUUUUAGGAGAAGGAGAGGAGGGUUUUUUUGUGUUGCUUGGGUGAGGGUUUGGUUAGGAAAGUUUCUAGCUCAGCUCUCUUGGGUGACCUUUUUUUUGCAGGAGAGGUAACAGAUGCUCAUUGUGACGUGCACAUGACUGCAGCAUCCACAGAGGAGAAGCAGGGCCCCGGCGCCAUCCACACUUAAAGGAGCUGCUCUGGAUUGAAUGUUUUAUGAGGCAUAUUGAUCCAGGAAGAGGUUACCUUCAUCUGAUGAGAACUCAGCCUGCGGAUCGCUGGGAGAGGGAGAGUGGUGCACAUCAUCGCCAGAUGGAGAUCAAUACGUGGCAUGGCUGCGAGAGUCCACAUGGUAGCACUUGUCAGCAGUUCUCUUCCAGCCUGUCAGCACAGCACUCCAUCACACCAACGGGAGGAGCAUGCUCUGGAUGUCCUCUGGUUGAAGUUUCCCUCAUCCCAAGAGUGAUGUCCUUGCCUACCUGCACCCAUCACAGAUGGACACGCGAGCCUGGUUCGUCAGACUGAGAGGUGAGAGGCCAUGGGAAAGCUGCUGGGAAGGACAGGAUGCUGCAGACCCCCCCAACCAAAACACUGCACCAACGAGAAGAGAACCACAGGACCACAAACCAGGUUCCUGCUCUAACCAAACCAAAGCAGAUUUCACCUGCCACAGUGGAGUCAGCAGAAGAAAUGGGGUUGACACCUGACAGAAUCCCAGAACCAAACCAUCAGAGAAGCUUUGUGAGGGAGUGAUCUCACAAGCAGCUCUAGAACAUGCUUGGGGCAGUGGCAGUAUCCCCUUCCCUGGAGGGGUUUCAAAGCCAUGGAGAUGUGGUGCUCAGGAGCAUUGUAUAGUGGUGCCCUGGCAGUGCUGGGUUAAGAGUUGGACUCCAUCAUCUUAAAGGUCUCUUUCAACCAAAAGAACUGCCCAAUUCUGUGCACAGUUGAGUACAUCUAACCAAAGAGGACUUGAUGUUAAAACAGUGGUAAGUUCUGUGACCUGAAAGAGGUGGUUCAGAGCAGGAGACACAGAAACAGGGACUACAUGUUGGGGAGGGACAGUGUCUUCCAUAACUUUGUUUCCAACUUGUCUCAGUGGUUGCCCAAGGUUUUGCUUUAGGACAAUAAACCUGCUGGAUUGUC